CCUACGGGCGGCAGCAGUGGGGAAUAUUGCACAAUGGGGGAAACCCUGAUGCAGCGACGCCGCGUGGGUGACGAAGUAUUUCGGUAUGUAAAGCCCUAUCAGCAGGGAAGAAGAUGACAGUACCUGACCAAGAAGCCCCGGCUAACUACGUGCCAGCAGCCGCGGUAAUACGUAGGGGGCAAGCGUUAUCCGGAUUUACUGGGUGUAAAGGGAGCGUAGGUGGCAUGGCAAGCCAGAAGUGAAAACCCGGGGCUUAACCCCGCGGAUUGCUUUUGGAACUGUCAGGCUGGAGUGCAGGAGGGGCAGGCGGAAUUCCUGGUGUAGCGGUGAAAUGCGUAGAUAUCAGGAGGAACACCGGUGGCGAAGGCGGCCUGCUGGACUGUAACUGACACUGAGGCUCGAAAGCGUGGGGAGCAAACAGGAUUAGAUACCCCAGUAGUC
rnacentral:rRNA from 1 species